UGGUUCUGUAAUAAAAUUAGUGUAGUAAUUGAAGGAGUUAGUGAUUUCAGUUCCGGUUGUGUCAAAUCUUUACUAUGUACCAUGAUUAGUGUUUACUGAACUGAGGCAUUGGACAUCGGAAUUCGGGCAUGAUGUAUAAUUUCAAUUCUAGAUGUGUGCAACACAAACAAUAAUGUCAACUAUCAAGUUGAUUCUAAAAUGUCUCAUUAACUUCAUUUCAGAUGGUUAUUGCUGGAUUUGGUAGUAGUUUAUUGUUGGCCUGGCCUGUGCUUCAUACCUUGCUUUGGUUUUUAGUAGAAAGUAGUGCCUUAGUACCUUUUCUAUCAUGUGGUGUCCAUGGAUCAAAAUUUUGGCUAUUAUGUAUUUAUUGUAGUAUCAAAAAUGGCUCAAACCUGAAGUUGUUAGGCUGUACAUACGGCUAUGCUCCAUUCUUUUGUGCAUUUUAAUUUAGUGUUGGUGUUGAUUUGAUGCCCAUGUUUAGAAACAAAUUACAGUAGGCUAAAUAGGUUAAUCUUCUUCGUUUGUUCGCGUGCAGAUGAUUGAUGAGCUGAUCUUCUUCCACCAGUGGUAGCGGGAGUGAUGCUCGAGCAGUACAUCGAUCAGUAGAUCAUCCUGCCAUUUGGGUAGGGAGAAGUUGGGACGGCCCUAAUGCGGUAACAUCACCAUGUGGCAAACUAGUAGAUGGACACAACAUUGGUGCCUGGGUGAUGGGACAAAGUACGUGUACCAGUGAUGGUGCACGAUAUUCGUGCUUCUCAUUGAUGUGAUGUGUUAUCAGCUAAAAUUUGUGCUUCUCAUCCAGUCUAUGUUGUUGUGCGCUUGUGCACUUGUUGGGCCUUUUUGUUGUGCACUUGCACUUGCACUUGUAGAACUAUUUUGUUGUGCACUUGUUGGGCCUUGAACCUUGCUGUGUAGAGGAGUCGAUUGAUGAUGUAUUGUAUUUCAUGUGAUGUGCUGCUGAAAUGAAAUAUACAGUCUAUCUAAAUAUUGUAUUAUGUUGUAUUUGUUCUCUGAU
rnacentral:lncRNA from 1 species